UUAUUAUUUCACAAAUGACCCAGCCCUGGUAAAGCUAAAGGGAUUUAUAAAAAUCAGUUACAAUUGACUGACAGCUGAUAAUUACAACAAUAUACAUGGACAUGUAUAUUGAGUAUACAUAUAUUAUCAAUAGCAGUCCAUUUCAACAUAUAAGUGCUGCCUACUGGGCUUGUACCUAGCUUCGAGGAGGGCAAAACUCAGGUAGAGAGUUAAUUAGAUUGAUACAAAAAAUUCCGAAAGGUGUUGCCAAAUACAGCUAACGUUAUCCGAAGAAAAUCUUUAGUAUUUUGUCAAUUUCAAAGUAAUUCCAUAAUUGCGACCAUAACAAUGAUAAUUUCAAAUGAAAAGAAGUACUGAAAACUGAGUUAGUGAUAAACUUGGGGUGGAAGCUUCUGCCAGCAGUGGAAAUGACCUAGUGGUUGUAAAUAAACUCACCAUAGAUACAAUCAUUAACAAUAAGGCUACAAAAGACCAAGUUUUGACACUCGCAUUAAACAUUAAACGUGUCUUAUAUUAUUCGAGGUUGCAGAGAAUUGAGAAUCCAAAUUUAUGACAAGUUUGGCGAAAUAAAUAAAGGCAACAGCAGUAUACAUACCGGUGUUAAAUUAGUCAUGCCAACAUAGCUUAUAUUGAAAAGAUCUACUCGUAACUUUAAAAUAGUUUUGUAAUUUUUAAAAGCUGUUACUGGUGUGAUUGUUGAAGUUUUUAUUUUUCAUCUUCGAGGCAUACCUUAUACCUCGCUUGCAGUGAGUAUACAAUUUCUCGUAGCUACUAUAAGAUGAUUAUUUACACCCUAAAUAAACUCAUCAUAGAUACCAGGA
rnacentral:lncRNA from 1 species